GUCGAACGGCAGCGCGGGAGCAAUCCUGGCGGCGAGUGGCGAACGGGUGAGUAAUACAUCGGAACGUGCCCAAUCGUGGGGGAUAACGCAGCGAAAGCUGUGCUAAUACCGCAUACGAUCUACGGAUGAAAGCAGGGGAUCGCAAGACCUUGCGCGAAUGGAGCGGCCGAUGGCAGAUUAGGUAGUUGGUGAGGUAAAGGCUCACCAAGCCUUCGAUCUGUAGCUGGUCUGAGAGGACGACCAGCCACACUGGGACUGAGACACGGCCCAGACUCCUACGGGAGGCAGCAGUGGGGAAUUUUGGACAAUGGGCGAAAGCCUGAUCCAGCCAUGCCGCGUGCAGGAUGAAGGCCUUCGGGUUGUAAACUGCUUUUGUACGGAACGAAACGGCCUUUUCUAAUAAAGAGGGCUAAUGACGGUACCGUAAGAAUAAGCACCGGCUAACUACGUGCCAGCAGCCGCGGUAAUACGUAGGGUGCAAGCGUUAAUCGGAAUUACUGGGCGUAAAGCGUGCGCAGGCGGUUAUGUAAGACAGUUGUGAAAUCCCCGGGCUCAACCUGGGAACUGCAUCUGUGACUGCAUAGCUAGAGUACGGUAGAGGGGGAUGGAAUUCCGCGUGUAGNNNNGAAAUGCGUANAUAUGCGGAGGAACACCGAUGGCGAAGGCAAUCCCCUGGACCUGUACUGACGCUCAUGCACGAAAGCGUGGGGAGCAAACNNGAUUAGAUACCCUGGUAGUCCACGCCCUAAACGAUGUCAACUGGUUGUUGGGUCUUCACUGACUCANUAACGAANCUAACGCGUGAAGUUGACCGCCUGGGGAGUACGGCCGCNANGUUGNAAACUCAANNGAAUUGACGGGGACCCNCACAAGCNGUGGAUGAUGUGNNUNAAUUCNAUGCANCGCGAAAAACCCUUACCCNCNUUGA
rnacentral:rRNA from 1 species